rnacentral:tRNA from 1 species
CAAAACGUAGCUUAAUAAAAGCAUUUCGCUUACACCGAAAAAACAUCCGUUAAACCCAGAUCGUUUUGA